rnacentral:lncRNA from 1 species
AUGGAGACCGACGAGCCGGCGACCAAGGCGGCAGGAGGUGAGCCGAAACCCUCGCCAGCGACCAAGGCGGCGGGAGUCAAAGAGCACGCAGCUGUGUUUGUUGCUUCAGGAGACAGUGGUCCAUCCUUCUUCCGUAGAAAAGACACCGGUUUCAGAGUAUUCAGGAUCAAAUUCCAAGCUUCUUACCUCGGGAGUUUGUUCGCGUCGUCAGCCAUUGUGCGCUGCUUUGAUUUGACGCGCGCGAUUUCUUCGUGCCAUUUGCGACGACUAUGAUUCGCAAGUA